rnacentral:lncRNA from 1 species
CCGCUGUUGAUGCUGUCGUUUAUGUGAAUGUCCUCGAUACCCAAAUCUGAGAUCCCUGUGAACUCUGUCAGGAUUUUGCUUCUCGUGCCAGUUUCGACCACUAUUUGCAGGUGUUUGUGGAUGUGAAUGUGCCUCUGGUAUAAAAUUUUGAUGACUUGCUGAAGAUGAAGGGCUAACUGUUCUGGUUUGAAUUGGUGCAGAACUAGAUGCUUGAGUGCCCAUUGAACUGGGUGCAAAGUGACUUCCAUUAUUAUUCUGGCCAGCCCCAAGCACACUUCCAUCCGACAAACUGGUUUCACGCGGAGCUUCACUCUUCAGCAUGCUU